rnacentral:rRNA from 1 species
CGACGUUAGCGGCAGGCUUAACACAUGCAAGUCGAGCGACAAAGGGGCUUCGGCCCUGAGUAGAGCGGCGGACGGGUGCGUAACACGUGGAUAAUCUGCCUCGUGGCGGGGGAUAACAGUCCGAAAGGACUGCUAAUACCGCAUGUCAGGUCGGAAACCCCGGUUUCUGACGAAAAAGAGGGCGCCCGCAAGGGGCUCUCACCACGAGAUGAGUCCGCGGCCCAUCAGCUAGUUGGCGGUGUAAUAGACCACCAAGGCUAAGACGGGUAGCUGGUCUGAGAGGAUGACCAGCCACACUGGGACUGAGACACGGCCCAGACUCCUACGGGAGGCAGCAGUGGGGAAUAUUGGACAAUGGGCGAAAGCCUGAUCCAGCCAUGCCGCGUGAGUGAUGAAGGUCUUCGGAUCGUAAAGCUCUGUGGGAAGGGACGAAAAAGCCUAACCUAAUACGUUAGGUCUUGACGGUACCUUCUUAGCAAGCACCGGCUAACUCCGUGCCAGCAGCCGCGGUAAUACGUAGGGUGC